GUCCAGGUGAGUGACAGAUAUAGGGAAGAUAAUCAAGGAGGUGAUGGAGUCCAGGUGAGUGACAGAUAUAGAGAAGAUAAUCAAGGAGGUGAUGGAGUCCAGGUGAGUGACAGAUAUAGAGAAGAUAAUCAAGGAGGUGAUGGAGUCCAGGUGAGUGACAGAUAUAGAGAAGAUAAUCAAGGAGGUGAUGGAGUCCAGGUGAGUGACAGAUAUAGGGAAGAUAAUCAAGGAGGUGAUGGAGUCCAGGUGAGUGACAGAUAUAGGGAAGAUAAUCAAGGAGGUGAUGGAGUCCAGGUGAGUGACAGAUAGAGGGAAGAUAAUCAAGGAGGUGAUGGAGUCCAGGUGAGUGACAGAUAGAGGGAAGAUAAUCAAGGAGGUGAUGGAGUCCAGGUGAGUGACAGAUAUAGAGAAGAUAAUCAAGGAGGUGAUGGAGUCCAGGUGAGUGACAGAUAUAGGGAAGAUAAUCAAGGAGGUGAUGGAGUCCAGGUGAGUGACAGAUAUAGGGAAGAUAAUCAAGGAGGUGAUGGAGUCCAGGUGAGUGACAGAUAUAGGGAAGAUAAUCAAGGAGGUGAUGGAGUCCAUGU